UAAAAGACGUUCAACCCUCCCUUCAGAGGAAUCCGGUGAAAUUCCGGAGCUGCCGCGCAACGGUGAAGUCCCCGCCAAGGGGAAUAAGCCCGGUCGACUGAUGGGAGGAAAUUCCUUCGCGGGAAGGGGAAGAG
rnacentral:sRNA from 2 species